rnacentral:tRNA from 1 species
ACUUAAGUAGUUUAAAUAAAAUUAUGAUUUGUGGUAUCAUAGAUAUAAAUUGUUAUCUUAGGUU